rnacentral:lncRNA from 1 species
UCUUUUUGAUCAAUGAGUUGAAGGUUGAUAAGUUAGCAUUGAUUAGGGAGACUUAAUCUUUCUUGAUUCAAAUCUAAUUCAUCUUGAUCAAUUGAUCAAGUGAAUGGCUUUGCAUUAAGGAUAGAUUAGGGAGACUUAAUCUUUCUUGAUUCAAAUCUAAUUCAUCUUGAUCAAUUGAUCAAGUGAAUGGCUUUGCAUUAAGGAUAGGUUGUUUUCUAAAUCAUGCAAAAGGCUUAAACCAAU